rnacentral:rRNA from 1 species
CCUACGGGAGGCAGCAGUGGGGAAUAUUGGGCAAUGGGCGCAAGCCUGACCCAGCAACGCCGCGUGAAGGAAGAAGGCUUUCGGGUUGUAAACUUCUUUUAAGAGGGAAGAGUAGAAGACGGUACCUCUUGAAUAAGCCACGGCUAACUACGUUCCAGCAGCCGCGGUAAUACGUAGGUGGCAAGCGUUGUCCGGAUUUACUGGGUGUAAAGGGCGUGUAGCCGGGCUUACAAGUCAGAUGUGAAAUUCCGGGGCUCAACCCCGGACCUGCAUUUGAAACUGUUGGUCUUGAGUAUCGGAGAGGCAGGCGGGAUUCAUAGUGUAGCGGUGAAAUGCGUAGAUAUUAGGAGGAACACCAGUGGCGAAGGCGGCCUGCUGGACGAUAACUGACGGUGAGGCGCGAAAGCGUGGGGAGCAAACAGGAUUAGAUACCCUUGUAGUC